UGUAAGCGUAUACCAAAGUUGUUGCAGUUAAAACGCUCGUAGUCGGACUUUGGCAGUUCCGGAUGUGUGCACGUCGUGUGCGCACUUCGCGGGGAUUGCUUUUGUGGUCUUGCGUAGGAUGGGGCACUUUUAUUAGUGAACGUCCUCACGCAACCACUUUUUACUGUGAGAAAAUCAGAGUGCUCAAAGCAGGCAUUUGCCGUGAAUGUAUUAGCAUGGAAUAAUAGAAUAGGACUUGGUUCUAUUUUGUUGGUUUGUUGGGACUGAGUAAUGAUUAAGAGGGACAGUUGGGGGCAUUUGUAUUUCGGUGCUAGAGGUGAAAUUCUUAGAUUACCGAAAGACAAACUGCUGCGAAAGCGUCUGCCAAGGAUGUUUUCAUUGA
rnacentral:rRNA from 1 species